rnacentral:rRNA from 1 species
GAUGAACGCUGGCGGCGUGCUUAACACAUGCAAGUCGAACGAAGCAUUUAAGACAGAUUACUUCGGUUUGAGGUCUUUUAUGACUGAGUGGCGGACGGGUGAGUAACGCGUGGGUAACCUGCCUCAUACAGGGGGAUAGCAGCUGGAAACGGCUGGUAAUACCGCAUAAGCGCACAGUACCACAUGGUACAGUGGGAAAAACUCCGGUGGUAUGAGAUGGACCCGCGUCUGAUUAGCUUGUUGGCGGGGUAACGGCCCACCAAGGCGACGAUCAGUAGCCGACCUGAGAGGGUGACCGGCCACAUUGGGACUGAGACACGGCCCAGACUCCUACGGGAGGCAGCAGUGGGGAAUAUUGCACAAUGGAGGAAACUCUGAUGCAGCGACGCCGCGUGAGUGAAGAAGUAGUUCGCUAUGUAAAGCUCUAUCAGCAGGGAAGAUAGUGACGGUACCUGACGAAGAAGCUCCGGCUAAAUACGUG